AAGAAGUCAUGCAUGAAAAGUGAGACAAAAAGUACACGAGGGAGAGUACAGAGUCGUGCUGCAUGCCUGCUUCCAAUAUCAGCCUCCCCCGAUGGAUGUCAGUCGAUCAUCAACAACAUGCGACAGGACGAUGUGUCAUUUCACAUCAGAAGGGAUUCCCUGAUUUGCAAGUAUGGUGAAUCGUUAUAUGCAAAACAUGGCCGCGUGAAGUCCAGGCACCAGUACAUUGCUCAAAGAAUGCGGGAGCUUGGCCGCUUCAUGUUAGUUGCUAAAGAUAUGGACAAGACUGUCAACGCUCUAGAAGAUUUGUGUGUACCAUCCAGAUUUCAGCUUGUUGUCAAUAUUGCUAAGCGUCUUACACAGUUCAGUCCAGGCAAAAAUGAAUAUGGAAAACCUUCAACAGCAGUCAAAAUUGGAUUCUGCCUUAAAGGGGCUGUGGAGGUCAUGAUUGGACAGGCUCUUAUGAAUGAUGACGAUCUGGCAGAGAAGAAAGCAAAAAAAUUCUAUGAACUCUUGGAAAAAAAUUGGAGGAACAGUGUUUCUAUCUCCGCUCACCAAACCAUACAAGAAAACAAAUGGAAUAAAGAAGAUGACAUCCCCCUCACCAGAAAUGUGAUUGCUCUGAGAGACCAUCUCAGGCUGGUAGAAGACAAAGCAAGAGAGGAACUGACUCCGCAAAUGAGUUUAAGAGCAUACAAGGCAUUAAAUGAGACUGUUCUGGCGCAGGUCAUUAUUUUCAACAAGCGGCGGGAAGGGGAAGCAUCACGCUUGACUCUUGAGAUCUACAAGAAAGCAAGCACAAGUGCCAUUAAUGAGGACAUCUAUGAAACCUUGUCACCAUUAGAAAAGGAGCUGAGUAAGAUAUUAACUCGCAUCGAAAUUAGGGGGAAAAGAGGAAAGAAGGUUCCAGUUUUCUUGACCGAGAGAAUGAAAGAGUCAAUCGAUUUGUUGGUCAAAAGGAGAGAAGAAGCUGGUGUACUUGCUCAAAAUCCCUAUCUCUUUGCAAGACCUGGUGUGAUGACAAACAUACGUGGAUGUGACUGUCUGCGUAAAUCUGCAGAAGAAAGCAAAGCAGAAAACCCCGAACUCCUAAGGUCAACUUAAUUAAGAAAACAGGUUGUCACACUCUGCCAACUCUUGGACCUUACUGAACAAGAGCUGGAGCAAGUUGCACGGUUCAUGGGUCAUGACAUCAGAGUACACCGGGACUUUUACAGACAGACUGACAAAACAUUUCAAAUUACCAAAAUAAGUAAGCUUCUGUUCGCAAUGGAGCAAGACACUGUGAGCUUUCGAAGAAAGAACCUUAACACGCUUCAUCCAUCAGUAUGCGG
ensembl:lncRNA